CCUCUCCCUUCCUUUCCGUCCCUCUCCCCCUCUCCCUCCCUCCUCCCUCUCUCUCCCCCUCUCCCUCUCUUUCCCCAUCUCUCCUCCCCUCUCUCCCUCUCCUUCUCUCCUUCUCUCCCUCUCUCCCUCCCCCCUCCCUCCCCCCUCACUCAGUGACUCCGUCUGACCUGGGGACUCCCGGGGGAAGAAAGAACCCCCGGAUAGGAGCGGAGUUCCGACCCGGUUCGGGCCUGCAAGGGGGCUGGGACCCGAGAAGAGGGGGCUACGGGCCCUUGCGUCGCGGGGAGAGAGAGAACCGAGAGACCCCCGUGAACUCCCAAGGCGACCCGGCGAGUGGGGAAGCCAGAGCCCAGCAGGUGGGUCUUCUGACCACGUGGAUGCUCCGUCCACACCUGGUGACUCGGUGCCCUCCGAGUCCCCACACCUCUCCGCGGCGCCUUCCCGAGUAGAACUGCAUCUCUUACGCCCCCCGCCCCAAGUUCAGGUGCCCCAAGCCUUCUGGGCUGUGACAGGCACCGCUCAGCGCCCUGUGAUGGUCCUUCCCGUGCUCACGCACAGCACCCAAGGUGCUGGCCGCCCAGACCUUAUUCCCUUUGCUGGGAGGAAACUGAAUUACUGA
rnacentral:lncRNA from 1 species